UGCCAUACCGGAGGAGGCCAGGACCUGUAAUGUCGAACUUCUAUUCGGCAAAUUGCGCGAAGGCCUGAUCGGAGGCAAACGCUGCGUGAGGUGAUGGACGGUCUUCCGGAUCGUAAAACUCGUGUUAAGGGAAGAACCAAAUUUGUAGUAACUGAACCAAGUCUUGACGGUACCUAACCAGAAAGCACGGCUAAAUACGUGCCCAGCAGCCGCGGUAAUACGUAGGUGGCAAGCGUUAUCCGGAAAUUAUUGGGCGUAAAGCGCGCGUAGGCGGUUUCUUAAGUCUGAUGUGAAAAGCCCCACGGCUCAACCGUGGAGGGUCAUUGGAAACUGGGAAACUUGAGUGCAGAAGAGGAGAGUGGAAUUCCAUGUGUAGCGGUGAAAUGCGCAGAGAUAUGGAGGAACACCAGUGGCGAAGGCGGCUCUCUGGUCUGUAACUGACGCUGAUGUGCGAAAGCGUGGGGAUCAAACAGGAUUAGAUACCCUGGUAGUCCACGCCGUAAACGAUGAGUGCUAAGUGUUAGGGGGUUUCCGCCCCUUAGUGCUGCAGCUAACGCAUUAAGCACUCCGCCUGGGGAGUACGACCGCAAGGUUGAAACUCAAAGGAAUUGACGGGGACCCGCACAAGCGGUGGAGCAUGUGGUUUAAUUCGAAGCAACGCGAAGAACCUUACCAAAUCUUGACAUCCUUUGACCGCUCUAGAGAUAGAGUCUUCCCCUUCGGGGGACAAAGUGACAGGUGGUGCAUGGUUGUCGUCAGCUCGUGUCGUGAGAUGUUGGGUUAAGUCCCGCAACGAGCGCAACCCUUAAGCUUAGUUGCCAUCAUUAAGUUGGGCACUCUAGGUUGACUGCCGGUGACAAACCGGAGGAAGGUGGGGAUGACGUCAAAUCAUCAUGCCCCUUAUGAUUUGGGCUACACACGUGCUACAAUGGAUAAUACAAAGGGCAGCGAAUCCGCGAGGCCAAGCAAAUCCCAUAAAAUUAUUCUCAGUUCGGAUUGUAGUCUGCAACUCGACUACAUGAAGCUGGAAUCGCUAGUAAUCGUAGAUCAGCAUGCUACGGUGAAUACGUUCCCGGGUCUUGUACACACCGCCCGUCACACCACGAGAGUGAGUAACACCCGAACCCGUGAGAGUUACUCCUGGCUCAGAACAUGCGUGUGACGUCGUCCC
rnacentral:rRNA from 2 species